rfam:Schistosoma curassoni strain Dakar, Senegal genome assembly, scaffold: SCTD_scaffold0014110
GCGCAUGGCCGUUUUUAGUUGGUGGAGCGACUUGUCUGGUUAAUUCCGAUGACAAACAAGAACUUCAACCUGAUAAAUAGUAGACUGGUCCUCUGUGCUCGUUUAGGACGUAACUUCCAUUACUUUUUAUGGAGUGGUGUGGUCGUGAGCCGGCGGGUGCAGUGCCACUUUUUACUUCUUAGAGGGACAAGCGUCAUAUUUAAGUGGCACGAAAUUGAGCAAUAACGCGUCUGUGAUGC